AGGACAAACGCUGGCGGCGUACCUAAGACAUGCAAGUCGAACGGGCGCUUCACCUUCGGGUGGGUGUGCUAGUGGCGCACGGGUGAGUAACACGUGACUAACCUACCUUUUAGUGGGGGAUAACCUAGGGAAACCUGGGCUAAUACCGCAUAAUACCUACGGGUCAAAGCAGCAAUGCGCUGGAAGAGGGGGUCGCGGCCGAUUAGCUAGUUGGCGGGGUAAUGGCCCACCAAGGCAGUGAUCGGUAUCCGGCCUGAGAGGGCGCACGGACACACUGGAACUGAAACACGGUCCAGACUCCUACGGGAGGCAGCAGUGGGGAAUUUUGCGCAAUGGGGGAAACCCUGACGCAGCAACGCCGCGUGGAGGAUGAAGACCCUUGGGUCGUAAACUCCUUUCGAUCGGGACGAUAAUGACGGUACCGGAAGAAGAAGCCCGGCUAACUUCGCGCCAGCAGCCGC
rnacentral:rRNA from 1 species